rnacentral:lncRNA from 1 species
AAGAAGUCUUUAAUAUAACACCUGCUUUUUGAGGAAACAUCUUUUUCUACAAAUUAAACAAUGCAGCUGAGCUCCUCAACCGAUAGGAAAGACUGCACAGUGUUCUAAAUCUCAGGACUACCCGAAUCCAUGUCAUCCACAGAGUUGCAUGGUGUGUAAGGCUGCUGGGAUAAUUAUCCAUCACCUCCCUACUCCCUGCCGUUGGUGCCCACUGGGCACUUCGCCCAGGGUGCAGGUUAGGACACCAACCAUAACCCACCUACCCAGGGAGCUGAGCAUGGAAGUUUCCAGCCUUGUGUGGGAGACCAAGCCUUCUCUGCUCUUGGGAGAGCAGAUAGAUGUUAAGGGCUGAGCUGAGACUCUCACAGGACUCUGCUGCCAAGUGGCCCUUAAUUUACAGAGCUGUCAUGCACUUGAAUUCAGUGGAACAGCUUGUUUGGAAAAAACUACAGGACAAAACUUGGUUUUCUGUUACUGGAAAGAUGUGUGCUUUCUUUUGGUAUCAGCAGGUGAUCGGAGUUUCUGUGGACCUGGUGCUAACAGAGUUAUAACAGCAUGAAACCCGAAUGAUACGGUGAUGAAUGAGCCUGCAGGUUGGGGGAAACAGAAUCAUGUUUUGGAACAAGAUGCUUUGGAACAGGAUGGUGUUUGGUAGUCAAGGAGGAUCCUGCCACUAUAUAUGGUCACUAUUUUGUUCAUGUCCUGAAAUUCAGGAAGAGCCACACCUUAGACACUUCAUGGCUUACACUGCAGGAUGAUAACUGACUGUCACUUUGCAUGUGGGAUAAGCACUCUGAUAUAAUACUCUGGGCUGCACUUGCCUGUUUGCAUGUUGCAGCUUGUGUUAUGUUUCAAACUUGUGAUCACAAAUAGGAGCCAUAUUUCUGCACCUCUGCCCAUUGGUAUUGAUGGAGUAGAUUUUCUCAGAAGCUGUCUCUGAAUAAUUCUGGACGGAUUUGUAUCUCCAGAGCAACAGCUUAUUUGCAUUAGUAAAUAGUCUACCUUUAUGACUAAUUAGUAUCUUUAUCUGUUACUUAAGUCUUUAUGCUUUCUUUCCUUUGAUAAAGACAGGGAGACCACAAGUUCUCUGAAAGCCAGUGGGAAAUGCCUAUUGAUAUAGUGGAGUCAAGGAUUGACCUCUGUUGCUAAGUACAGGCAGAAAAGCAGACAGGCGAAUGAAUAAAAUGGAAGAGAGGAACA